CCUACGGGUGGCAGCAGUGGGGAAUAUUGGGCAAUGGGCGCAAGCCUGACCCAGCAACGCCGCGUGAAGGAAGAAGGCUUUCGGGUUGUAAACUUCUUUUGACAGGGAAGAGCAGAAGACGGUACCUGUCGAAUAAGCCACGGCUAACUACGUGCCAGCAGCCGCGGUAAUACGUAGGUGGCAAGCGUUGUCCGGAUUUACUGGUGGUAAAGGGCGUGUAGCCGGGCUGACAAGUCAUACGUGAAAUCCGGGGGCUCAACCCCCGAACUGCAGUUGAAAAUGUGGGUCUUGAGUAUCGGAGAGGCAGGCGGCAUUCCGAGUGUAUCGCUGGAAGGCGUAGAUAUUAGGAGGAACACCAGUGUCGAAGGCGGCCUGCUGGACGACAACUGACGGUGAGGCGCGAAAGCGUGGGGAGCAAACAGGAUUAGAUACCCCAGUAGUC
rnacentral:rRNA from 1 species